UGCGGAAUUUUAGAUAAUGGAGGGAACUCUGAUCUAGCGACGCCGCGUGCAGGAAGAAGGUCUUCGGAUUGUAAACUGCUGUGGUAAGGGAAAAAUGCUAUGUAGAGUGGAAAGCUACAUAGAGGGAUGGUACCUUACUAGAAAGCUCCGGCUAACUACGUGCCAGCAGCCGCGGUAAUACGUAGGGGGCGAGCGUUACCCGGAAUCACCGGGCGUAAAGGGAGCGUAGGUGGCCUAACAUGUCAACUGUGAAAACCCGGAGCUCAACUCCGGACUUGCAGUUGAAACUGGUAGGCUUGAGGACGGUAGAGGAAGACGGAACUGCCAGUGUAGGGGUAAAAUCCUUAGAUAUUGGCAGGAACGCCGGUGACGAAUGUGGUUUUCUGAGCCGGUUCUGACACUGAUGCUCGAAAGCCAGGGGAGCGAACGG
rnacentral:rRNA from 1 species